CCUUCUCCCGCCAGCGAGGGGCUCCUCCUCAGUUUUGGAGGACAUUUUCAAGGUCACCUGGGUCAUCCUUCCGUCACAUUCUGGACUGUUCCCAGCAGGCCCCAUGGUCCUGGUGGGCCGCGCUCCCCGAGGAACGUUCCGGUUCUGGAGACUGCUGACAGCCACACAGUUCCCGGAUCUCACCUGCAGGUCUUGGCCACACCCCUUCAGAGGAUGCGCGUCACAUACAAGUCCUCUCCGCCACGGCAGCCCCUAAACGAUGUGAGGAGCAGGAGUGCAUUUGUCGAGCGGCACCCGGCAAACAAACGGUGAUUAUCUGCUUUUGUGAGACGCUGUGGGUUCAGAACGAGCAAAGCACCACAGCUUUUUUGCUAGGACUCUCAGAGAAGAACAGGCUUUAAAUAGAUGAUGGAUUGUAACAGCGGUAACAAGAAUGAUGACGAUACACAGAUGGAGAGACAGAGAUGGAUGGGUAGAUGCAGCCGUGGGGACCUGGCCGGGGAAUCGGACGCAAAGCUGUAAACGUGUGCCUGUCACGGAAGGGGCUCUAGGACCGCAGGACCCCUGUCGGCAGCCGGCACAGAAGCACACCGCAGACCGGCGUGGAGAAGAGACCCGGGGAAGCAGAGGCCGCUGCUCGGACAUACCACUGUGUUUUCUGUGGAGAAGAAAGAGGUGGGGCACCUCUGUUUGGCCCUGGGCACAGGUA